rnacentral:snRNA from 1 species
AUCACAGCGUUCACUUCAUUACGCACCAAUCUUUCGCCUUUUACUAAAGGUUGCCGUGAAAGGGACGCAUCAAUGUGACUUCAUCAAUUUUUGCGGGACCUUCGGGUCCCA